UUAAGUGACUAAGCGUACACGGUGGAUGCCUUGGCAGUCAGAGGCGAUGAAAGACGUAGUAACUUGCGAUAAGCCCAGAUUAGGUAGUAACAACCAUUUGAGUCUGGGAUUUCUGAAUGGGGAAACCCACGUGCAUAAGCACGUAUCCUUACCUGAAUACAUAGGGUAAGGAGGCGAACCGGGGGAACUGAAACAUCUAAGUACCCCGAGGAAAAGAAAUCAACCGAGAUUCCGAAAGUAGCGGCGAGCGAAAUUGGACUAGCCCUUAAGCUUUACACGCGUUAGACGAACGGUCUGGAAAGUCCGACGAUACAGGGUGAUAGUCCCGUAGUUGACGACGUGUGUUCAGUGAAAUCGAGUAGGGCGGGACACGUGAUAUCCUGUCUGAAUAUGGGGGGACCAUCCUCCAAGGCUAAAUACUACUGACUGACCGAUAGUGAACCAGUACCGUGAGGGAAAGGCGAAAAGAACCCCUGUGAGGGGAGUGAAAUAGAACCUGAAACCGUGUACGUACAAGCAGUAGGAGCAGGCUUUGUCCUGUGACUGCGUACCUUUUGUAUAAUGGGUCAGCGACUUAUAUUCAGUGGCAAGGUUAACCAUCUAGGGGAGCCGUAGGGAAACCGAGUCUUAACUGGGCGUUCAGUCUCUGGAUAUAGACCCGAAACCAGGUGAUCUAGCCAUGGGCAGGUUGAAGGUUGAGUAACAUCAACUGGAGGACCGAACCGACUAAUGUUGAAAAAUUAGCGGAUGACUUGUGGCUAGGGGUGAAAGGCCAAUCAAACCUGGAGAUAGCUGGUUCUCCCCGAAAGCUAUUUAGGUAGCGCCUCGGACGAAUACUACUGGGGGUAGAGCACUGUUAAGGCUAGGGGGUCAUCCCGACUUACCAACCCUUUGCAAACUCCGAAUACCAGUAAGUACUAUCCGGGAGACACACGGCGGGUGCUAACGUCCGUCGUGGAGAGGGAAACAACCCAGACCGCCAGCUAAGGUCCCAAAUUACUACUAAGUGGGAAACGAUGUGGGAAGGCUCAGACAGCCAGGAUGUUGGCUUAGAAGCAGCCAUCAUUUAAAGAAAGCGUAAUAGCUCACUGGUCGAGUCGGCCUGCGCGGAAGAUGUAACGGGGCUAAGUAGUAAACCGAAGCUGCGGCAAUAUACUUUUGUAUAUUGGGUAGGGGAGCGUUCUGUAAGCGGUUGAAGGUGUGUGGUAACGCAUGCUGGACGUAUCAGAAGUGCGAAUGCUGACAUGAGUAACGAUAAAGGGGGUGAAAAACCUCCUCGCCGGAAGACCAAGGGUUCCUGUCCAACGUUAAUCGGGGCAGGGUAAGUCGACCCCUAAGGCGAGGCCGAAAGGCGUAGUCGAUGGGAAACGGGUUAAUAUUCCCGUACUUCUUACAAUUGCGAUGGGGGGGACGGAGAAGGCUAGGUGGGCCUGGCGACGGUUGUCCAGGUUCAAGUGCGUAGGCUUGAGAGUUAGGUAAAUCCGGCUCUCUUUAAGGCUGAGACACGACGUCGAGCAUCUACGGAUGUGAAGUCAUUGAUGCCAUGCUUCCAGGAAAAGCCUCUAAGCUUCAGAUUGUAAGGAAUCGUACCCCAAACCGACACAGGUGGUCGGGUAGAGAAUACCAAGGCGCUUGAGAGAACUCGGGUGAAGGAACUAGGCAAAAUGGUACCGUAACUUCGGGAGAAGGUACGCUCUCGACGGUGAAGUCCCUUGCGGAUGGAGCUAUUGAGAGUCGCAGAUACCAGGUGGCUGCAACUGUUUAUUAAAAACACAGCACUGUGCAAAAUCGUAAGAUGACGUAUACGGUGUGACGCCUGCCCGGUGCCGGAAGGUUAAUUGAUGGGGUUAGACUUCGGUCGAAGCUCUUGAUCGAAGCCCCGGUAAACGGCGGCCGUAACUAUAACGGUCCUAAGGUAGCGAAAUUCCUUGUCGGGUAAGUUCCGACCUGCACGAAUGGCGUAAUGAUGGCCACGCUGUCUCCACCCGAGACUCAGUGAAAUUGAAAUCGCUGUGAAGAUGCAGUGUACCCGCGGCUAGACGGAAAGACCCCGUGAACCUUUACUACAGCUUGGCACUGAACAUUGACCCUACAUGUGUAGGAUAGGUGGGAGGCUUUGAAGCACGUACGCCAGUAUGUGUGGAGCCGUCCUUGAAAUACCACCCUUGUAGUGUUGAUGUUCUAACGUCGACCCCUAAUCGGGGUUGCGGACAGUGCCUGGUGGGUAGUUUGACUGGGGCGGUCUCCUCCCAAAGAGUAACGGAGGAGCACGAAGGUGGGCUAAUCACGGUUGGACAUCGUGAGGUUAGUGCAAUGGCAUAAGCCCGCUUGACUGCGAGAAUGACAAUUCGAGCAGGUGCGAAAGCAGGUCAUAGUGAUCCGGUGGUUCUGAAUGGAAGGGCCAUCGCUCAACGGAUAAAAGGUACUCCGGGGAUAACAGGCUGAUACCGCCCAAGAGUUCAUAUCGACGGCGGUGUUUGGCACCUCGAUGUCGGCUCAUCACAUCCUGGGGCUGAAGUCGGUCCCAAGGGUAUGGCUGUUCGCCAUUUAAAGUGGUACGCGAGCUGGGUUUAGAACGUCGUGAGACAGUUCGGUCCCUAUCUGCCGUGGGCGUUGGAAGAUUGAAGGGGGCUGCUCCUAGUACGAGAGGACCGGAGUGGACGAACCUCUGGUGUUCGGGUUGUGUCGCCAGACGCAUUGCCCGGUAGCUAAGUUCGGAAUCGAUAACCGCUGAAAGCAUCUAAGCGGGAAGCGAGCCCUGAGAUGAGUCUUCCCUGAUACUUUAAGUAUCCUAAAGGGUUGUCGGAGACUACGACGUUGAUAGGUCAGGUGUGUAAGUGCUGUGAGGCAUUGAGCUAACUGAUACUAAUUGCCCGUGAGGCUUAACCAU
rnacentral:rRNA from 1 species